UGGGGAAUAUUGGACAAUGGGCGCAAGCCUGAUCCAGCAAUGCCGCGUGUGUGAAGAAGGCCUGCGGGUUGUAAAGCACUUUCAGUGGGGAGGAGAAGCUCAAGAUUAACACUCUUGAGUCUUGACGUUAUCCACAGAAGAAGCACCGGCUAACUCUGUGCCAGCAGCCGCGGUAAUACAGAGGGUGCGAGCGUUAAUCGGAAUUACUGGGCGUAAAGGGCGCGUAGGCGGCUUGGCAAGUCAGAUGUGAAAGCCCACGGCUUAACCGUGGAAGUGCAUUUGAAACUGCUUGGCUUGAGUAUCAGAGGGGAAAGUGGAAUUCCCGGUGUAGAGGUGAAAUUCGUAGAUAUCGGGAGGAAUACCGGUGGCGAAGGCGACUUUCUGGCUGAAUACUGACGCUGAGGCGCGAAAGCGUGGGGAGCAAACAGGAUUAGAUACCCUGGUAGUCCACGCCGUAAACGAUGUCAACUAGGUGCAGGGGGUGUUGAUCCCCUCUGUGUCGCAGCUAACGCAUUAAGUUGACCGCCUGGGGAGUACGGUCGCAAGAUUAAAACUCAAAUGAAUUGACGGAA
rnacentral:rRNA from 1 species